rnacentral:misc_RNA from 1 species
UUUCCGUAGGUGAACCUGCGGAAGGAUCAUUAGUGAAUAUUAGGGCGUCUACUUCGGUAGGGCCUGACCUCCACUUUCUAACUCUGUGCACUUAUUUGGCGGAAAAGGGAAUUAGUAAUCUGUCUAAUGACGAUUGCGACUUCUUACUUUCUGCGGCCUACUUUAAACACUAGUCAAAGUAUGUAACGAAAUAUCGAAACAAAUAAAAACUUUCAACAACGGAUCUCUUGGCUCUC